ensembl:lncRNA
UAAAAAGAAGAUCAAGAUUUGUCUGAUCAACACAGGAAGGCGACUUUGAGGAAGGAGAAGCUGGUAGUGUUAAAUCACAAACUCACAAUCCUUUGAGCAUGGAGAUAUCGCAUAGCGUAAGGCUUAUGUGGAAAAUCAGGAGAUUCUCAGCUCUGUCCCACAUGCUAGUAAAAACCUGUUGAACCUUUUCUUGUCUCCCCCCCACCAUAUUAGUCAUUUAAUAUUCAAUAAAUUUUAUUUGAA